rnacentral:lncRNA from 1 species
UUUCCAUGACAUACCAUGCUUGUUCCAUGAUUAUUUUCCAUGUAAAUAAUAUGCUAUGCAUACUUACAAAGCCCUCAACAUGAGGCAUUGCUUUUAACUUUAAGUUUGUGACAUUAUUUUUUGUUGAAUCCGGGUGCAUGAAGCCCCCUUGUUAUUCGCUUUUCUACAUGAUAAAGCCAUUAUUUUCAAUAAAACAAGAUACCAUUGUGUUCUACAUGUUCCAUACUUGAACUUUGAUUUUU